rnacentral:rRNA from 1 species
UACGGGGGGAGCAAGCGUUGUUCGGAUUUACUGGGCGUAAAGGGCGCGUAGGCGGCGUGACAAGUCAGUUGUGAAAUCUCCGGGCUUAACUCGGAACGGUCAAGUGAUACUGUCGUGCUAGAGUACAGAAGGGGCAACUGGAAUUCUCGGUGUAGCGGUGAAAUGCGUAGAUAUCGAGAGGAACACCUGCGGCGAAGGCGGGUUGCUGGGCUGAUACUGACGCUGAGGCGCGAAAGCCAGGGGAGCAAACGGG